CCCUGUGAUUUGCUAGAAGCCUGCCCUGGGAGGUGAGGAGGAGGAGUGUGGUGUUCUUGGGGUGUGAAGCAAGGAGGAAUUGAGGGGAGGCUGCUAAGGGUCCUAGGCUGUUCCCCGUGGGAACCCUGGGGUGGGCCAGGAGGCUGUGGCUGUGGACUUUUCAGGGGAGGGUCUGCAGGGGGUCGACUUGAGAGCAAGGGCUCAUCCCACCCGCACCCCAAUGUCACAGGGUGUCGUCCCCUAUCUUGGCACUUUCCUUGGUGACCUGCUUAUGCUGUGUCUGGCGAUGGGUGAUUAUCUCGAGGGGAAUGAGAUCAACCUUAAGAAAGGGACUGAGGAAUACCGAGUCAUGAGGGAGAUGCUGCUGCUCCCAGUGGUUGCAAAGAAUUACAACCAGAGCUGGAGGAGUGAUU